UACGUAGGGGGGCGAGCGUUGUCCGGAUUUAUUGGGCGUAAAAGGCUUGUAGGUGGCCAUGCGAAGUCGGGUGUGAAACCUCCAGGCUCAACCUGGAGACGCCACCCGAUACUGCUGUGGCUAGAGUCCGGUAGGGGAGCGUGGAAUUCCUGGUGUAGCGGUGAAAUGCGCAGAUAUCAGGAGGAACACCAGCGGCGAAGGCGGCGCUCUGGGCCGGUACUGACGCUGAGGAGCGAAAGCGUGGGGAGCAAACAGG
rnacentral:rRNA from 1 species